GCGGGGUGGCGGGAAGGUGGGCUCCGUGGAUCUCAUGAAUGGGAUUGGAAUUGCGGUCAACUUUUUACCUAUUUCCAGCGAGCAGUCAGUGUUGCGCCGCGCUGCCGUCAACGUCGCGUUCCCGGUGUCAGUUCGUCCGAGUUGCAUGCGUUCGGCUUUCUCCGCUCGCUCGGGUGUGUUCGUGUGUUCUCUGUGACUUGCGCCCCUUUCGUACCUUUCGUCAGGUGUUUACGGCCCGCUCGGAUAUAUUCGCCGUGUGCCGAAAUGUGAUGCCCAUGUGGAUUAAUUAUGUGUUCGUAAGAUGAUCAGGAAAAGCGAUGCGGGCUGACACGGCCUCGUGGCUGGCGGCCGGCGUGGCAGGGCCGCUGGUCGGCGUCUGGCUCGGCUGGGCCGCGCUGAUCGUCUACUCGCACCGCGCGCAAUGGCGGCUCCUGGACCCGCUCCUGCUGGCCCUCCUCCUCCUGGCGCUUGCCCGGCAACUCGCCGCUGCCGCCCUCACGGCCGUCCACCUCCUCCGGCCCUCCGACGACUGGUGCUCCGCGCUCGCCUUCCUCCUCGCCGCCGCCGACGCCAUGCAGGCUGCCACCCUCGCCACCCUCGUCUUCUCCAAGUUCCUCCACCUCCGCCUCCCUCGCGACAAGUUCCGCAAGACCCUCUCCAAGUCCCACCUCAUCUACCACCUCGCCUGCCUCGUCCUCAUCAGCUCCUGCAUUGGCGUCGCUGCCGUCAUCGGCAAGACUGACCAUUGUGUCUACUAUUCUGACAAGAGGUACAUCUCCUUCUGGCUGACGCUCCACAGUACCCUGAUCGUGCUCUCCUUCUGCGUGCUGAUCUACAGCAGCUGCCUCCGCGGGAGCGUGGGUACCUCCGUCUCCAACACAUACUACCAAAACCAACGGCGCCUCCUGCUCAACUCAUCCUCCGACCUGUCAUGCGCUUUGUCGGACAUCUCGAUGCUCUCGUCCAAGUCACGAAACCGCGGCGUCAACUACUCGGUGAGCAACUGCUCCUCCAACUUGAACCGACGGCACUGCCUGGUGGAGGAGCUCCUGCGGAAUCAGGUCUACGUGAACGGGGACUGCAAGUUCGUCUACAACACCCAGCUGAGCUGCGGCUCGGGGUCCGUGUUGAACGACAAGUUGAGCGCGUCCCAGCAGAUGCUCACCGAGGAGUUGAGGGUCCCGGAGGAAGCGAGGUUGAUGGAGGACUCGGCGAGUUGUGCUGCGCUUCAUGACUGCCAUCUCUCGACGACGACCACUUCGCCCUCGUCGACCAACAGUCGGGCGCCUGUCCUAGCGGCCAAGCAUCGACGUCCCGACCUGGAGGUCCCGCUCAUGACCGUCGCGGCUGUCUCAGUUCUCUGCUUCUUCACCAGUCAUCUUCCUGUCAUGGUGGUGGCGUUUAUGGAGGUGAUCUUGCAGCAGUCGUUGGGACUACCUUGGUCAUCGGAGAACUUCCCGAUCUGGGCGUCCCUUGUCGAGGGCUGUCUUCUCCCGGUCGUUCUCCUCAUAUUCGACGACCAAUUCCCGGCCCGCAUCGCUCACAUCUACAAGCGACGCUCCCCGGCCGAUGUCGCCGGAAAACCACCCCAAGGGCUUUACGGAAAGUUCAGGCCAUUCAAUAACAGUUCAAUGAUGGAGUCGAGGCGGACGACGAUGGAGCCAGUGAGAUUCCCAAUCACGAACGGGUCUUUGUUCACAAGUUUGGACGGCCGCAUACCUAUUGUCCACAACUACAGACGAGGAAAGUGUGAGUAUGGCGCAGACUAUUCAAGUAUAGGAAGAAUUCAAUUCCACCAACCAUAUGUAGAGAUAUUACUUUGA
rnacentral:lncRNA from 1 species